rnacentral:rRNA from 1 species
GCUUGUCUCAAAGAUUAAGCCAUGCAUGUCUAAGUGUAAAUAAGUCUAUACUGUGAAACUGCGAAUGGCUCAUUAAAUCAGUUAUCGUUUAUUUGAUGGUUCUUGCUACUUGGAUAACCGUAGUAAUUCUAGAGCUAAUACAUGCGUCAAACCUCGACUUCUGGGAGAGGUGUAUUUAUUAGAUGGAAACCAAUGCGGGGCAACCCGGAUUAUGGUGAUUCAUAAUAACUUUCAGAUCGAUCGCAAGAUCGAUGCAUCAUUCAAGUUUCUGCCCUAUCAGCUUUGGAUGGUAGGGUAUUGGCCUACCAUGGCUUUAACGGGUAACGGAGAAUUAGGGUUCGAUUCCGGAGAGGGAGCCUGAGAAACGGCUACCACAUCCAAGGAAGGCAGCAGG